UACGGGGGGGGGCAAGCGUUGUUCGGAAUUACUGGGCGUAAAGGGCUCGUAGGCGGCCAACUAAGUCGGACGUGAAAUCCCUCGGCUUAACCGGGGAACUGCAUCCGAUACUGGAAGGCUUGAGUUUGGGAGAGGGAUGCGGAAUUCCAGGUGUAGCGGUGAAAUGCGUAGAUAUCUGGAGGAACACCGGUGGCGAAGGCGGCAUCCUGGACCAACACUGACGCUGAGGAGCGAAAGCCAGGGGAGCAAACGGG
rnacentral:rRNA from 1 species